AGGAGAAUCAUUUCGUAAGAACGUAGGUGCAGCCUAAAGAGGGCAACCUUUAUCUAUUUCUCAUUCCUGUCCUUUCUGUUAGAGGACUAGAAGUAAAGAAUAAAGAUGGCAGGCAUCAUAUUAGUACGUGGACAUUCACUCUCUAAAAAGUAUAUUUUGCUGUUUUGCAUAAGUGCUACUGCAGUGUUGCUGCUAUUUUGGAACUACACUCUUUAUAUGGAUGCUGUCAUAAAAGUGAAGACAGGCAAAGGUAUCAGACUAAGAGGCAAUCACAAAAAGGAGCAUGAG
rnacentral:misc_RNA from 1 species